CCGAAUACCAGGAAGUGCAAUCACGGGAGACACACGGCGGGUGCGAACAUCCGUCGUGAAGAGGGAAACAACCCAGACCGCCAGCUAAGGUCCCAAAAUUAUCGCUAAGUGGGAAACGAUGUGGGAAGGCAUAGACAGCCAGGAGGUUGGCUUAGAAGCAGCCACCCCUUUAAAGAAAGCGUAAUAGCUCACUGGUCGAGUCGGCCUGCGCGGAAGAUUUAACGGGGCUAAGCGAUAUACCGAAGCUGCGGGUUUGUAGCAAUACAAGCGGUAGGGGAGCGUUCCGUAAGCCUGCGAAGGUGGAUCGUAAGGUCUGCUGGAGGUAUCGGAAGUGCGAAUGCUGACAUGAGUAACGAUAAAACGGGUGAAAAACCCGUUCGCCGAAAGCCCAAGGUUCCUUGCGCAACGUUAAUCGGCGCAGGGUGAGUGGCCCCUAAGGCGAGGCAGAGAUGCGUAGUCGAUGGAAGCUGGUUAACAUUCCAGCACCUCGUGUGGUUGCGAUGGGGGG
rnacentral:rRNA from 1 species